UACGUAGGGACCAAGCGUUGUUCGGAUUUACUGGGCGUAAAGGGCGCGUAGGCGGCAAAUUAAGUCAGCUGUGAAAUCUCCGAGCUUAACUCGGAACUGUCAGCUGAUACUGAUGUGCUAGAGUGCGGAAGGGGCAAUCGGAAUUCUUGGUGUAGCGGUGAAAUGCGUAGAUAUCAAGAGGAACACCUGAGGUGAAGGCGGGUUGCUGGGCCGGCACUGGCGCUGAGUGCGCGAAAGCCAGGGGAGCAAACGGG
rnacentral:rRNA from 1 species